AUAAAGGUUCUACAUUUAAAAUAGAGCAACUAUCAUACUUUUUAUUCUAGGUUCUACAUCUAUAUGUGCAACUACAAUUUAAAGUCGAUGAAGAAGGGGUUCCUAUAGUGCAUUUUCCAAGGCCAUUAUAUUUAUGAAGGCACCAUUGUUUGCAAACUUGCAGAAGACAUGGACUAUGAUCGUCUGUAACAAUACAUAUAAAUGAUUGUAUGUUUGCUCCAUUUGUUGUAGGUAUAACUGUAAAAAUAAAACACAUUAAUAAAAAAAAAAUACAUAUCUUUGAACCAUCUUAAAUAAGGACCUAUAAAAGAUUAGAGUCACAUGAAGAAAAUGUCAAAAUAAUUGAGAGACAAAGUCAUAAUUAAAUAUUAAAUUAUAAAUUGCAUAGUUUUUAAAUCAUACAAGUUAAAAAAAAAUGUUUGUGUAAUUAGAUCACAUAUUUCGAUCUUAAGAUAAUACCUAAUUGUAAAAACACCAUAUCUAAAAUCAACGAUUAUUGAUUUCCAUAGAAUUCAAUUUAAAAGAUGUAUCUUUUGAAUGACUAUAGUCAAUUUACAAUGCAAACUUUCAAUAUGUUAAAGUUAAUCCAAUGAACAAUGCCAACACACAUAUAUUCAUUGUAAUUUGAUAUAAUAAUUUGUGUACCUGAAUAAAUAAAGGCAAGGACGAUAACUAGUAAGGCGGAAAACUUAGCCAUUCUUGGUAUAGUAUCUGAUAUACCUUUGUAAAAUAAAAACUAAGACUUUAUAUAAAAACAACAAAUGUCGAAGAACUAUUUUAUAGUAUUGUAAAUAAAUAAAGUAUUUAUGUGUGUUCCAUAUAUAGAAAUAGUCAAAGAUGUCUUUAAUUUUCAAACAAGAAAAAAGGAUUCAAAAUUUGAAAUUCUUUUAUAGUAAAAAAUGGCACCCUCAUAUAUAUAUAAAUUAACUUCCUUCCAUUUAAAUUUUUUUAAUUUCAAUUCAAAUUAAUAAUAAUAAUGAUAAAAAUAUAAUAAUUUAUUUUAGCAAACUUUUAUAUUGUAAUUUAUGUUAGAAAGUUUAUACAUUAAUCUGAUGUUACAAAAUCUAAUAUUUUUAAAUAAAAUAAAAUUUGUUGUAUAUUAUAAAGUAAGAAAAUUAGAAUUAAGAGAAUAUCCACGUGACCCCCUAAUGUACAUCCAAACUUCUGUCCAUUUCCACUUUUGAUUUUCAAUUCAAAUUAAUAAUUAUUAUUAUUAAAAUAUACUAAUUAAUUUUAAAAAAUAAUAUACCAUAAAUAGUACACUAUAAAUAUUUUUAAAUAAUAAUAUACUAUAAAUAAUUAAUACACUAUAAAUGCACCAUUAAAUAAUUAAUAAUGAAUAAUUAAUUCACCAUUAAAUAAUUAAUACACUAUAAAUAAUACACCAUAAAAACACCAUAAAUAAUUAAUACACCAUAAUAAUUAAUAAUUAAUACACCAUAAAUUUUUGGGGGUACAUGACAAUUUGCAAUCAAUUCUAAAUUCUUCCUAUUGUCUCUACCUCUAGCCAUACCCACUGAAAAAAAAAAUAGUUAAAAUCAAAUGAAUUAAAUAAAUACUAAUAUAAUAAAAAAAAUAAAACAAAAAAAUGAAUUUAAAAUAUAUUUAUAAAAAAAUCAAACAACUACUCGAAACUUGUCUAUCAAACAACAACCGGAAAUUGUGUAAGAAAAACUUUAAGUUUUCUGGAAUUUUUUUUUUUUGACACUUACUUCUGUUCCGGAAAUAUUAAAAUAGAGAAAUAAAAAAUGGUAACUUUUUAUAUAUAUGAGAGUAUUUUGAUAUUUUCCCUUACUUUUUGGGGUACAUGGAUAAAUGAGACGGUAAAAGGUAAAAUUUUCAAAUGUGUUUUAUAGGUUAACUCCAUAUGUAAGAGUAAAACCUAAUUAAAUAAUUAAUAAAAUAAGAGAGGAACUGUAGUCAACAAGCGAGAGAUGCUAAAGUGGUACAAACUCAAAGGAAAAGUAGGAAUAACUCUGAAAAUAAAACACAUUAAUAAAAAAAAAUAAAAACUAUCUUUGAACCAUCUGAAAUAAGGACCUAUAAAAGAUCAGAGUCACAUGAAGAAAAUGAAAAAAUAAUUGAGAGACAAAAUCAUAAUUAAAUAUUAAAUUAUAAAAUGCAUAAAUAGUACACUAUAAAUAUUUCCACUAAUGUACAUCCUAAUUGAACCGCUAAUGUACAUCCAAACUUCUGUCCAUUUCCACUUUUGAUUUUCAAAUCAAAUAAAUAAUAAUAAUUAAUAAUAAAUAAUUAAUACACCAUUAAAUAAUUAAUACACUAUAAAUAAUACACCAUAAAUAAUUAAUAUACCAUAAUAAUUAAUAAUUAAUACACCAUAAAUCGUUUUUUACUUUUUGGGGGUACAUGGACAAUUCGCAAUCAAUUCUGGAUUCUUCCUAUAGUCUCUACCUCUAGCCGUACCCACAGAAAAAAAAUUUAGUUAAAAUCAAAUGAAUUAAAUAAAUACUAAUAUAAUAAAAAAAAUAAAACAAAAAAAUAAUUUAAAAAAUAUUUAUAAAAAAAUCAAACAACUACUCGAAACUUGUCUAUUAAACAACUACCGGAAAUUUGUGUACGGAAAACUUUAAGUUUUCUGGAAAUUUUUUUUUUACACUUACUUCUAUUCCGGAAAUAUUGAAAUGAAGAAAUAAAAAAUGGUAACAUUUUAUAUAUAUGAGACUAUUUUGAUAUUUUCCUUUACUUUUUGGGGUACAUGGAUAAAUGAGACAGUAAAGGGUUAAAUUUUCAAAUGUGUUUUAUGGGUUAAGUCCACAUGUAAGAGUAAAACCUAAUUAAAUAAUUAAUAAAAUAAGAGAAAAACUGUAGUCAACAAGAGAGAGACGCUAAAGUGGUACAAACUCAAAGGAAAAGUAGGUAUAACUCUGAAAAUAAAACACAUUAAUAAAAUAAAUGAAAAAACCAUCUUUGAACCAUUUGAACCAUCUGAAAUAAGGACCUAUAAAAGAUCAGACUCACAUGAAGAAAAUGAAAAAAUAAUUGAGAGACAAAAUCAUAAUUAAAUAUUAAAUUAUAAAAUGCAUAGUUUUUAAAUCAUACAAUUUUAAAAAAAAAAUGUUUGUGUAAUUAGGUCACAUAUUUGGAUCUCAAGAUAAUAUCUAAAAUUAAAAAUACUAUAUCUAAAUCAAUGAUAAUUGAUUUCCAUAGAAUUCAAUUUGAAAGAUGUGUCUUUUAAAUGACUAUAUAUAGUCAAUUCCCAUGACAAAAUUUCAAUAUGUUAAAUUAAUUCAAUGAACAAUGCCAACACACAUAUAUUCUUUAUAAUUUGAUAUAAUAAUUUGUAUACCUGAAUAAAUAAAGGCAAGGACGAUAAUUAGUAAGGCAGAAAACUUAGCCGUUUAAAAUAAUUUCAAUAUCAAUAUUAUGAUUUAUUCUUGUUGUUAACUAUGAUAUACCUUUGGUAAAAUACAAAUUAGGACUUUAUAUAAAAACAACCAAUGUCGAAAAAUAUUUAAUAGGAUGGUAAAUAAAUAAAGUAUUUAUGUAUGUUUCAUAUAUAAGAAAUAGUCAAAAAUGUCUUUAAUUUCAAAAAAAAAAAAGUUUUGAUUUGAAAUUCUUUUAUAGUUAGAAUUUUCAAGUGGCACCCUAAUAUAUAUAGAAAUUAACUUCCAUCCAUUUCAAUUUUUUUAUUUUUAAUUUCAAUCAAAUUAAUAAUAAUAAUAAUAAUAAUAAUAAUAAUAAUAAUAAUAAUAAUAAUGAUAAAAACAUAAUAAUUUAUUUUAGCAAACCUUUAUAUUGUAAUUUAUGUUAGAAAGUUUAUAAAUUAAUCUGGUCUUACAAAAUCUAAUAUUUUUAAACAAAAUAAAAUUUACUGUAUGUUAAAGCAACAAAAUUUGAAUUAAGAGAGUAUCCACGUGACCCCCUAAUAUACAUCCAAACUUCUGUCCAUUUCCACUUUUUAUUUUUUAUAUUCAAUUCAAAUAAAUAAUAACAAUUAUUAAAAUAUACUAAUUAAUUUUAUAAAUUAUACUGAAAUUUUUAACAAUGUUUUAUAAACAUACUUACUGAAAUUAUACUAAAAUUAUUUUUGAUAAUUAUUGAUUUUUUUUAAAUAAAAGAAAGAGGUAAAAUGUGUUUUGUGAAUUACAUCCAUAUGUAAGAGUAAAAUCUAAUUAAAUAAUAAAAAAUAAAAAUAAAAAACUAUAGUCAACAAGAGAGAUGUUAGUUGGUAUGAACUCAAAGGAAAAGAAGAAACUCAUGCACUUGUGAGAGAAACUCAGUUCCGGUGUCCAACGACUGUCUAGAAAACUUUAUCCAUUUUAGCUCAAAUUUCAGUAUGUUUUUUCUCUCAUGAAGUGAGUUAUUUCAACACCUUUUUUCCAGAGUUUGAGAUUUUUCAUUUUCUCUCUAAAAAUGCUCAACUUAUUCGUUUAUGAAACACAAUAUUUUACAUCGUCCUUGUUCACCAUAAGUCCGAUUUUAGUGAAAUAGACGCCAAAACGAUUGUGUGAAUAAUAGCUAUAUUAUCUAAUAUUUAGUUUUUCUACUUUAUAGUAAAUUUCUUUGAACUAAUUUUGGAAUUGUCAUUUUAGAGUGUCUUGUCAUAUUUUAUUUUUGAUAUUUUUUUAUGUCAAAUUGGAUCAUUGGAGGAUGUUGAGUCAAAAGAGCAGAGACUUUUCACUUGUGGACUCAUAUUAGCAUUUGAAAGCGACGAAAUAAGAUAAGAGCUGAUAGGGCAUUUGAUUUCAUAAGUAUAUUAUAAUGUGAGAUGAACGAGAAAGUUGUAAUUUUCAACAACUCAUUCGGGACUCGCUACACACGGAGGUAACCCUAUUUUGUAAUAAUUGAACUAAUAUGACAAAUUGGGGUUUGUCGAAGUAAAAUAUGGAUUAUUAACUUUUAUAAGGUGUUGUCGGAUUUAAAUUUUUGUACGAUGCGGUAUAUGUGAAGAAAAUUAAAGUUUUUAUUUUUAUGAUACUUUUAUGGAUAUAUGAUUUCAUGAUAUGUGAAGUGAAAGCUUUGGUCUUUGUGAUAGUUGCUUAUGAAUAUAUGAUCUUCAUGAUAUGUGAGGUGAAAGCUUUGAAUUUUAUGAUGGUUGUUUAUGAAUAUUUGAUUUUCAUGAUAAGAACCUGUGAUGUAUGAUCUUAGUGAUAUAUUUGAAUAAGGUGAUGAAUUCAUAUAAAUUAUUUUUGGAGCAUUUGAUAUAAUCUUAAUGAAUUGUGUGGGAAUGUUUGAUUUUGAUAAUCAAUCAUCAUGUCAUGCCAUAUACAUCUUAGUGAGUUGUGUGGGAAUAUUUUAUUUUGAUAACGCAUCAUACGACGCUACAAAAUCCCAAAUAACAUAUAUAAUAAUUUAUACUAGAUUUUUUUUGAGCAAAAUUCGGAGCAUAUAAAGAAGAUAUGUUUCCAAGAAAAAAAAACUUUUAUAACUAAUUUAGGAUAUCACAUUUCUCGCAAAUCAAAAGAAACACUUUAAACUAUUUUGCUUCUAUAAAACAGGAAAUCUCCGUAAACUUGAUUUAACUAGAAUGUCUUAAUUUAAUUCCAAAAAAUUACUAAUACUAAUAAUGUUUUGAUGCAAAAUGUCUUUUCUAAAUAAAUGAGUAAAAGUAAAAUACAAUUUACUACCCUUAUUCUUGGUAUCACCUAUCCGAGCGGGGUUUCUCUCAAACUUGAACUUCAAGACUCAUAACAUGUAAUAACUGCAAUUUUGCAAACGUAAGGCCAAACCAGUCAAACACAAACACACAAACAACGAAUGAGGUGUGUUUUGAAAUCAUGUUAAUAGUAUAGUAUAAGUAAAAAGAGCACGCAAAUAAUUAUAAUAGACCAUACCAUAAUCACACGCAAAUAAUUUUGAUAAUCACACUAUAAUAGACCUUGAUACUAUGCCACCAUCAAGGUGGACGAACAAUUCAAAUUGCCUUUGUCCUCAAAGUUCCCCUCAACACAACUCGAGACACAUAUACGCGACAAUCGAGGUAAACGUGUGUUGCAUGGCAGCUCCCGAUAUUUGGAGUGAUACCUCCAAGUCACCUAGAAAUUCCGCAUCCAAAUACCUCCAAAGUCUAAUAAUCUUGCCUUAAGGCUCAACAGCACACCGCAACGAUCAGCCUCAUUCAAUUGUACUUCCCUGGAAUUCCCUGGAGUCAUUAAGCUUGUCAGACCCUACCUAUAUGAUGAAAAAAUAAUAUUCACUUCACAGAUUCUCAAUAUUUAUUUUUUCUCCUCAUUGGCCUAUGAUACUCCAUCAAGACCAUUAUCUCAAACACAAAUUGGAAUCACCACUAUUUCAUCAACUAUGUAUGGGGUUACUUCAAUAUUCUCAUCACAAAUUUAAAACAUCACUAUCAUUAAUCACACAUCAGCAUCAUCAAAUAAACUCAUACCAAUUUAUAGCAUCACUAUCAUCAAUCAUACUUCAUCACAUGAGAUGUCGAAAACGCCCAACGAGCAAGUCCAAAAUCAUCAACGAAUCUGCAGAGUCAAUGAAACAUGAUUGAUAAUUUACGCGGAGCAUAAAAAUCAACAUUAUAUAAUUAAUAAAAAUAUUAGGUGAAGAAGCAUAUUCAAAAUAUCGUGAAAUAUAAUAUUAGAAAAGAUCUCACCGACGUGUUGAAGCGCCGACAGGGUCCGAUGUCAACUUCACCGAAACACGUAAAUGAGUGGUGCUUCUUGAAGGUUUUGACGAGAGAAAUCCAAAUAUGUUGUCGGUUUUUUAGGACGGUGAAAAUGCUGUCCGAAAUUCGACAACAUAGCCGCGACGGUGGUGAAACCCCAUUUUUUUAAGUAUAACGGUUGGUGAUUCCAAGUUUAGGUAAUGGAAGAGGAUGUUUAGUGGAGUCCAAAUAUGGUCUUGGUUUUCGUUGGUAAUAGUCGUGGUGCCCAAAAUCUUGAUCAAAAGGCGGAUGUGUGAUUUUUAACAAAGAGAAAUAGGAUAUUUCAAUUUGCGAUUCAGGUUGGGAAUGAAAGAGGAGAUCACAAUGAUCACAAAUGUGGUCGAAAAUAGGUAUGGAGGCGGCAAACGAAGACAACAACAAGCAGAUCCUUCCUUUUUUUUUUCUUCUUUUGUUCAUUAGUAAUAUUAUUAUUUUAAUAUUAUUAUUAUUAUUAUUAUUAUUAUUAUUAUUAUUAUUAUUAUUAUUAUUAUUAUUAUUCACUUUUACUCUUGGAUUUAACCCAUAAAACACAUUUUACUCAUUUCUUUUAAACACAAUUUAAUUACUAAAAUAUUAUUAAUAUUUUAAAACUAAUAUUUUAUAAAAUAAAGUAAUAAUUUUUUAAAAUACAUUAAUAAUUAAGAUUCUCAUAUUCAAAAUAUCACUAUAAUUAUACUUAUUUUCUUUUCAAAUACUCAUAUUAAAAUACUACCAUCAUUAGAGAAUAUUUGAAAUUAUAAAAUAAAUAAAUAUAACAUCAAUACUUUAUAUUAGUUACUAAAUCAUAGUAAAUAUAUAUAAAAUCCUAAUGUCAUAACAAGUAUAUAAAAAUAAAGAAAAUUAAACAGAAUAUUAUUACUAUCUCAAGAUAACUAUUCACAAAAUAAAUAACUAAAAAUAGAAACAGUUAUAAAUAAUUGAAAUAUACCUACGUGCACACUUAACAUCAGUUGAACAACUGAGAAGAUAUCACAUUAAUUACGAACACACGUGUACACUUAAAAUCUUAUUCUUUAAAAUAUGUACCAUAAAAUACUAUUAUUUUUAGAAAAAAAUAAAAAAAUAAAAAAUUAUAAUGUUUAUUAUUUAUAUCACUCAUUUAAUCAAAUUUAUAAAGAAAACAUAUAUCUAAAAACUAAUCAACAUAUAUCUAAAAUAAUUUUAAUAGUUUAUUAUAAAAUUUGAGGUGUUACACACCAUCAUGUCAUGACACAUGCAUCUUCAUGGAAGUUGUCUUUGUGGCAGGUUUAUUAUUCUCAUUAGUAUGAGUGAUUUUCUGUGUGGAAGUUGCCAUAGUGGCAAAUAUUAUAUAUGGAGCAUAUAGUUAUCAUGAGCAUGCAUAUCAUUGCACCAUCAUGUGAUUGUUUUGUUGUGGUUAAUGUGUAUCUAAUUGAGGAUAAUUUCUCUUAGAUGAUUUGAUGUUAUAAUGAGAUAUUGUUUUUCUUGAGUAAUUUUGACUUUAUAAUAUGAUUAUUUCCGUGAAAGUUUUGAUUCAUUGUGAUGUGUUUGAUACAGCUAUGUGUUGAUUAUUUGUGUGUUCUUCUUACUUAUAUUGUACUAUCAACAUAAUUUGAAAAUUCACUUCCUUAAUUUUUUUUGUUUGACUGAUUUGACCAUGCGUUUACGAAAUCGCAAUGAUUACAGGUUAAUGAGUCUUGAAGUUCAAGUUUAGGAGAAGCCUCGCUCUGAUAGGUGAUGCCGGAAAUGAGAGUUAUAAGUUGUAUUUUACUUUUUUAAUUAGAAAAUAAAAUUUGUAUGACAACCUUAUAAGUGUUGAGACAAAAUCUCUCUCAAAUGGUUUUAAUGAUAACAAAAUUAUUUAAAAGAUUGUGAUUAUGGUUAAUGACUAAUCUGUGCUUUUGAGUGUAUUCAUAUAAGAAAACAAGUUAUUAAUCAUUAAGACAAAAAGGAGAAAAAUCUGAUUCAAAUAUGGAGGAUUGGAAUUCGAGAGGAUGACCUCGUAAGAGGAUGGUUCUUCAAAUCUACAUAAUACUCAUCAUCACUGAAACAAAUUGUUUUAUUCAUUAAAUAAAACAAAAACAGUAUUAAAGAAUGAAUAAAUAAUGCUUUUGAAAUAAAGAAGCAAGAUGGCUAAAGAAAAGUACGAGGAAUGACUACACUAGGAUGGGUCUAUGGUCAAUAUAUUGGAAAGUGUGACACCCUAAACCCAAAAAUAAUAUAUAUAAUAAUUUAUAUAAUAUUCCUAUAAAAUUUGCAGCAGAUAAAUAAAAUUAUAUUUUCAAUAAAAUAAAAACUUUUAUUUUUAAUUUAGGAUAUCACGUUUCUCAAAAAUAACAUAAAACACUUUAAACUUAAUUUUUUCAUUAAAAUAGUGCAAUCUCGAUAAACUUGAUUUAAGUAUAAUUAUUUGGUUUAAUUCUAAAAACUAACUAUUACUUAUAUAGUUUUGAUAAAAAAAAUCCUUUCAAAUUAAAUAAGAAAAUACAAAUUACAACCCUUAUUCUCGGUAUCACCUAUCAGAGCGGGGUUCCUCCCAAACUUGAACUUCAAAGCUCAUUAACCUGUAACAGCUACGAUUUCGCAAAUGCAGGGCCAAGCCAGUCAAACACAAACAACAAAGGAUGUGAGUUUCGAAAUCAUGAUGAUAGUAUAAUACAAGUAAGAAGAACACACAAACAAUCACAAUAGGACCAUAUCAUUACACAAAUAUUCAAUCAAGAAAAUAUCACAUUCAAAGGUCAAAAUCACUCAAGGAAAAUCAAUAGAUUUCACUGUAACAUCAAAUUGUCUAAGAGAAAUUAUCACCACACACGAUACAUAUUAAUAACAACAAAACAAUUACAAUAAAAUGCAAUGCUAUGCAUGAGCUUAGACUCUACUUCACAAUGUGGUACCAUUCUAACUCUGAAGUACUUGAUUAGGAGGCUUGAUACUAUGCCACCAUCCCGGUGGACGGACAAUUCAAAUUGGCCUUGUCCUCAUAGAUCCCCUCAACUCAACCCGAGAUACAUAUACGUGACAGUCAAGGUAAACAUGUGUUGCAUGGUAGCUCCCGACAUUUGGAGUGCUACCUCCAAGUCACCUAGGAAUUCCCCACCCCAAAUACCUCCAAGGAAAGACCCUGGACUUUUUGAUUAAAGUGUCCAACGGUCAUAAAGCUUUUGCCACUUGAAAAUAUCAUCUCAAAGUCUCUAUAAAAUGUUGGGAGCUCUUCAUUAUCAAAUACACAACAACAUUGCAUAAAAAGAUCAAGUAUCUCAAAGCAACCAAGAGCAAUAUCCAUCCUCUCUUUAUACUUUCUACAAUCCUUCAUUAGAUCUUUGAAAUAUCCAUUUAGAAAGUGUUUAAGAAAAGAGAAACAAUCACAUUCAUAUCACUCUAUAAUUUCCACGUGAGUUACACUUGGAAAUAGUUGAAACUUGAUUGUAAGCUUGGUGAGGCUAAAGAAUACACAAAGUGUAAUCAUCCUCUGUGAGAGGUUGAUCAAUUUGAACAUUAGUGAAAUCUCACAAGUGUGUGAGGACCAGACAUAGCCUUUAUUGGGUGAACCAAUAUAAAAGUUGUGUGUAUCAUUCUUUACAUUUAUCUCUUUCUUUUGCUCUGCUCUGAUUUAACAUUUAAACAACCAUCCUCGAGUUUCCAUCCUCUCUGAGAGGAUAGUAUCCAAAACACGAGAAAAUUAUUUUUAAGCAGCAAAAUCCCUAUUCAACCCCCUUUUUAGUGAUAUUUAGCUACAUCAAUAAGUACUACUAUGUUUUUGGAAUUAAAUUAAGAAAUUAUAGUUAAAUCAAAUUUAUUGAGAUUGCACUGUUCUAUAUGAGGAAAAAGUCUAAAGUUUUUCAUUUGGAUUUUGAGAAAUGUGAUGACCUAAUAAUUCAAAAAGUUUUCUUUUCUUUUGAAAUAGUUUUUAUUUAUCCGCUGCAAAUUUUAGUAAAAAUAUCAUAUAAAUUAUUAUGUAUAUAAUUUUGGGGUUUAGCAUUUACUAAUUAUUUAAAUGAAUAAUAGUUUAGGUAUUCUUACUUUAAAAAAAAAAUCAUAAUUUUUCUAAGCAAUAAGUAUUUUUAAGUAAUAUUCUGGAUUAAAAUUCGGGGCAUUAUAAAUAUAUCAAACUCAUAUUCUCAAGGUGGAUUGGCUUAAGAUAUUGAGUCAGCAAGCUUUCCACAACCUGUUAUCUAGUGAUCCUUCCAAAAUUUUGUAGAAUGACUAGCACAAAUAACUCGUCGCACAUUACAUUCGAUAUUGGGCCACACUUUACAAAUAUUCCUCCAAGUAUUUGAAGCAAAGUUGCAUUGUUGGAUAAUAGGGGUGUUCAUAAUACCACAAUUAUACUUGGCUCGGUUACUUGAACAAAAAAAUUGUCUCUAUCCGCAACCAGUUGCCGACCAAGUUUGGUCAUAUAUGCCUGAAUAAGAACUUUGAAAUUCUUGAAGCCAAGUUCACCUUCCUACUUUGGCUUGCAAAAAUGUUUCCCAAGAGAUCAAUUGGCAUGCUCUUUGUACAGUUGCCUUUGUGGCAAGUUUAUUUUUCCAUUGGUAUGAGUACUUUUAUGUGUGGAAGUUGCUUUAGUAUCAUAUAUUAUAUGGAACUUAUAGUUAUUAGGAGCGUGCAUAACAUUGCACCAUCAUGUGAUUGUUUUGUUGUGGUUGAUGCGUAUCUAAUUGAGGAUAAUUUCUCUUAAAUGAUUUGAUGUUAUAAUAAGAUAUUGGUAUUCCUUGAGUGAUUUUGACUUUAUAUUAUAAUAAUUUUCGUGAAUAUUUUGAUAUAUUGUGAUGUGUUUGAUAUAGCUCUGUUUUGAUUAUUUGUGUGUUCUUCUUACUUUUAUUAUACUAUCAAAAUGAUUUGAAAAUUCACUUCGUUCAUUUUUAUUAUUUGAUUAGGUUGACCCUACGUUUACGAAAUCACAAUGAUUACAAGUUAAUGAGUCUUGAAGUUCAAGUUUAAGAAAAAUCUCGCUCUGAUAGAUGAUAUCAAAAAUGAGAAUUAUAAGUUGUAUUUUACUUAUUUAAUUAGAAAAUAAAAUUUGUAUGAAAACUUUAUAAGUACUACUAAGUUUUUAGAAUUAAAUUAAGAAAUUAUAGUAAAAUCAAAUUUAUUGAUAUUGCAGUGUUCUUUAUGAAUAAAAAGUCUAAACUCUUAGGUAGAUGUCAUUAUCAACUUUCCAAUCACUUUCUAGUUUCCAUAAUCCUUUUAAAUAAACUCCAUGGCAUAAAAUUAAGGAAGAAAAAUAAAAUUGUGCACUCCUGCACUAAAUAAUCUAAUAUAGUCUGAUGUGAGCUCGUCUUUUCAUUUUAUUGAUUAGUGUUUUAUUAUUAUUUUCCCGCUUUUUAGAUAAACUUGUAUGUUAGUUAAUUUACUUUUAUUGUUAUUUUUUAAGGAAUUAAAUUUGCAAUUAGUCCUGAUAAACUGCAAGAAAUCUAUUAUAUUUAUUAUAUAUAUUUUAAACAGAUUUCACUGCCACUUCAUCAUAUUUCCUCCACAUAUGCAGAUAUUUCUAACAUCAGUCAAAAAGUUGAUGCGUACGUCUUGAGAGUUUUCUCUACUCAAUUUCUAAAUUCCUAAUUUUCUUUUGUCUUCCUUCCACAAUUUCAUUUUCUCUAUUCAAAUUUUUUUAAUCAUAUCUUAUGCUUCUCCUCUUCCUUCGACAAUUUCUUUAAUCUCUUUAAUCCCUAAUUUUGUUUUGUCUUCCAUCCACAAUUUCUUUUUCUGCAUUCUAACUUUUUUAAUGCUUCUGCUCCCAAUCCUCCCCCUUAUGUCCCCAGACCAACCCAGAUCUGCCCUCGAAAGUCUCUAUGCAUUUUGGGAGGAGAGCAUGCAAAAUCGCGCAAUGAAUCUUAGAAACAUUGCCUCAGGUCUAUAAAAAUCUAUACAAAAGAAAAUAGCGAUUCCUAACUUUAUUGAAUAAUCUCAAUUGAAGGAUACAUCUAGGAUCGGUGAUUGUUGAUACUGAGAAGGUGAGCUCUGUGGUAGCUCUUCGAUCCUCCUUUCACCUUCACACACAAUUACAUCCCUCCGCGAUAACUUUUCGAAAUCCUGAAAUCUGACCGAUUACUAUCAAAUUGUAUGCAUUUUUUGAUUAUUGUUUUAUAGUAUUAUUAGUCAGUUUUCAUUACUUUCAAUUUAUGUCAAUCAAUUAUAUAAGUAAUAUUUUAGGUUAUCAAUCUUCAUUUCACGUUCAUACACAAUUGUUCAAUGAUUUCAUAUCUUGAAAAUCCAAUUACUAAUUCAAUUCUCAUUACAUUUUUCUAUAAUACACUUUUUUAUUAUAAUAAGUAUUAUUUUACCCUAUCAUUACAUUAAUAAGCAUCAAUCUUGCUUUCAUGCAUAAUUAUUUUACUUAGGGGUCAAUUUGAUUUUAUAUAUUAAAAAUUCAAUUACUCAUUAAAUUCAAUGGAAAAAACCACUUAAUCACUCAUAAAUAUAAUCAUAAAUAUUCUAUAUCUAAUUCUUUGUAUUAUCUCAAUAUGGUAAUUAUAUCAAUAUACUAACAUUAAUAAAUCGGCAUAAAUCAGUCAAGACCAGCUCCAUCCAAAGAAAGUGGCGACCGUCUCACCGAGUCUCGAUUCGAUAUCAUCUUUUUCGACGUCUUUGCGGUAUCUCUCUAAAAAUGUUCGUACACAAUUAUUCCAAUGAUUUCAUUCGUCGAAAAUUCAAUUACUCGUUACAUUUAUCUAUAAUAUUUUGAUAAUGCAUAAACAUUAUACUUAGUAAUAUUUUACACUAUCAAUUACACUUAGUAAUAUAUUAUAGUACCAAUCCUAUUUUCAUGAACAAUUAUAUUAUUCCACGAGUAAUAAUUUUAUACGUGGAAAAUUCAAUUACUCAUUAAAUUUAAUGAAAAAACCCACCAAAUUACUCAUAAAUAUUGUCAUAAAUAUCCUUUAUCAAAUUAUCUGUAUUAUCUCAACAUGGUAAGAAUAAUAAAUUGGCAUAAAUCAGGUAUCUCUCCAAAGAAAGUGACAACGUCCUUCCAGUACUUCCAUAGUAACUCUUCGAAAUCGUGUAAUCUUACCUACAUUAUUAUCAAAUUUAAUACAUAAAACAAACCCCAAAUCUAUUUUGUUGUAACAUUAUUAUGCAUUUUUUAUAAAAAAAUUUAUAACAUUAUAACGCAUUUAUAAUUACUUUUAAUUUAUGUCAAUCAAUUAUACGAGUAACAUUAUAAUGCAUAUAUAAUAUUUUACGUUAGUUAUCAAUCCAUUUAAUUUCAUAUAUACAUAUAAGUACAUCGAAACUAAAUUAAUGCAUAUAUAAUAAAAAUUUAUAUACAUUCAAGGACAUGGAUUUUGUGAAUAAACCAAUUAACAAAAAUAUCAUAUGAAUUUUUUGAAUAAAUAAAUGAACUAAUUAUAUAAUAUUUUUAAUAUUAUCAUUUUAUAAAAUAAAAAUAUAUAUUCUAUUUGAAAAAAAAUACACAAAUUUAUUAAAAAUAAUCAUAAAAUACGAAUAUAUAAAAAAUUAUUAAAAAAUUGUUUCCAAUUAUUAAAAUACACAAAUUUAUUGAAAAUUAUAAUAUAUGAAUAUAUUAAAAAAGAUAAUGAACAAAAGUUUACUAUACAUGUAUUCUGAAAAUAUAUGUUAACACUAAACUUUCAUCAAAUAAAUUAUAUAGUUGUAAUUGAAUGUUAUUUUAAUUUUAAUUUUAAUUUUUCUUAUCAUCUUUUUCGAGGUCUUUGCAGUAUCUUUUCGAAAACGUUUGUACACAAUUAUUCCAAUGAUUUCAUUUGUUGAAAAUUCAAUUACUCAUUACAUUUUUCUAUAAUAUUUUUAUAAUGCAUUUUUUUUAUUGAGAGUAAUAUUUUACACUUUCAAUUACAUUUAGAAAUAUAUUAUAGUAUCAAUCCUCUUUUCAUGAACAAUUAUAUUAUUCCACUUAGGGUGAGUAAUGAUUUUAUAAGUUAAAAAUUCAAUUACUAAUUAAAUUUAAUGGAAAAAACAAUCACAUCACUCAUAAAUAUUGUCAUAAAUGCUAUUUAUUCUGUAUUAUCUCAACAUGGUAACAAUAAUAAAUUGGUAUAAACGAGGUAUCUCUUUAAAGAAAGUGUCAACGUCCUUCCAAAUUCCAAUACUUCCAUAUAGUAACUCUUCGAAAUCGUGAAAUCAUACCUACAUUAUUAUCAAAUUUAAUAUAUAAAACAAACCCCAAAUCCAUUUUGUUGCACUUUUUAUAAAUUUUUUUAUAACAUGCAUUUAAAAUUACUUUUAAUUUAUAUCAAUCAACUAUAUGAUUAACAAUAUAAUGCAUUUAUAAUAUUUUACGGUAUCAAUCAAUUUAAUUUCAAUUUAUAUCUCAAUACAUUUAAGUACAUCGAAACUAAAUUAAUGCCUAUAUAAUGAAAAUUUAUAUACAUUCAAAUACAUGGAUUUUGUGAAUAAAUAAAUUAAAAAAAUAUCAAAUGAAUUUUGUGAAUAAAUAAAUUAAAGAAUUAAAUAAUAUUAUUAAUAUUAUCAUUUUAUAAAAUAAAAAUAUAUAUUCUAUUUGACAGAAAUUACACAAAUUUAUUAAAAAUAAUCAUAAAAUACGAAUAUAUUAAAAAUUAUUAAAAAAUUGCUUUCUAUUAUUAAAAUACACAAAUUCAUUUUAAAUUUUAAUAUAUGAAUAUAUUAAAAAGAUAAUGAACAAAAGUUUACUAUACAUGUAUUUAGAAAAAAUAUGUUAACAAUAAAUUUUAAUUUAUUAAAUUAAAUAUUUGUAAUUUAAUGCUAUUUUUUUUUAUUUUAAUUUUUCCUAUCAUCUUUUUCGACGUCUUUGCGGUAUCUCUCCGAAAGCGUUUGUACACAAUUAUUCAAAUGAUUUCAUUCGUUGAAAAUUCAAUUACUCAUUACAUUUUUCUAUAAUAUUUUUAUAAUACAUUUUAUUUAUUAUGAGUAAUAUAUUACACUAUCAAUUACCCUUAAUAACAUAGUAUCAAUCUUCCUUUUAUGAACAAUUAUAUUAUUCCACUUACGGUGAGUAAUGAUUUUAUACGUUGAAAAUUCAAUUAUUUAUUAAAUUUAAUGGAAAAAACCAUCAAAUCACUCAUAAAUAUUGUCAUAACAUGUUCUUUAUCAAAUCAUGUGUAUUAUCUCAACAUAGUAGCGAUAAUAAAUCGGUAUAAAUCAGGUAUCUCUCCAAAGAAAGUGACAACGUCUUUCCACUAGUACUUCCAUAGUUACUCCGAAUUUUUGAAAUCUUACCUACAUUAUUUGCAAAUUUAAUACAUAAAACAAACCCCAAAUCUAUUUUGUUGUCACCUUAUUAUGCAUUUGUUAUAAAUUUAUUUAUAACAUUAUAAUGCAUUUAUAAUUACUUUUAAUUUAUGUCAAUCCAUUAUAUGAGUAACAUUAUAAUGCAUUUAUAAUAUUUUACGGUAUCAAUCCAUUUAAUUUCAAUUUAUGUCAAUCAAUUACUUUCAAUUUAUUUCUAAAUAUAUUUAAGUACAUCGAAACUAAAUUAAUGCAUAUAUAGUGAAAAUUUAUAUACAUUCAAAGACAUGGAUUUUGUGAAUAAAUAAAUUAACAAAAAUAUCAAAUGAAUUUUCUGAAUAAAUAAAUUAAAUAACUAUAUAAUAUUAUUAAUAUUAUCAAUUUAUAAAAUAAAAAUAUAUAUUCUAUUUGACAGAAAAUACACAAAUUUAUUAGAAUUAUAAUAUAUUAAAAAUUAUUAAAAAAAAAAUUGCUUCCAGUUAUUAAAAUAAACAAAUUCAUUUAAAAUUAUAAUAUACGAAUAUAUUAAAAAGAUAAUGAAUAAAAGUUUACUAUACAUGUAUUCUGAAAAAAUAUGUUAACACUAAAUUUUCAUCAAUUAAAUUAUAUACUUGUAAUUGAAUGCUAUUUUUAUUUUAAUUUUUUUAUCAUCUUUUUCGACGUCUUUGCGGUAUCCCUCCGAAAACGUUCGUACACAAUUAUUCCAAUGAUUUUAUUCGUUGAAAAUUCAAUUACUCAUUACAUUUUUCUAAAAUAUUUUUACAAUGUAUUCUUUUUAUUGUGAGUAAUAUUUUACACUAUCAAUUAAACUUAGUAAUAUAUUAUAGUAUCAAUCCUCCUUUUAGGAAGAAUUAUAUUAUUCCAUUUACGAUGAGUAAUGAUUUUAUACGUUGAAAAUUCAAUUACUCAUUAAAUUUAAUGAAAAAAACCAUCAAAUCACUUAUAAAUAUUGUCAUAAAUAUUCUUUAUCAAAUUAUCUCUAUUAUCUCAACAUGGUAAUGAUAAUAUACCGGUAUAAAUUAGGUAUCUCCAAGAAAGUGACAACGUUAUUUCUCAAUACAUUUAAGUACAUCGAAACUAAAUUAAUGCAUAUAUAAUGAAAAUUUAUAUACAUUCAAGGAUAUGGAUUUUGUGAAUAAAUAAAUUAACAAAAAUAUCAAAUGACUUUUGUGAAUAAAUAAAUUAAAUAAUUAUAUAAUAUUAUUAAUAUUAUCAUUUUAUAAAAUAAAAAUAUAUAUUAUAUUUGACAGAAAAUACACUAAUUUAUUUAAAAUUAUAAUAUAUGAAUAUAUUAAAAAAGAUAAUGAACAAAAGUUUACUAUACAUGUAUUCUGAAAAAAUAUGUUAACACUAAACUUUCAUGAAUUAAAUUAUAUAUUUGUAAUUGAAUGCUAUUUUUUAUUUUAAUUUUUCUUAUUAUAAUGAUAAUUUCAGGGUUAAACAAUAAAUGAAAAUUAAUUAUUGUAUAAAAUUAAAUUAUUUUUCAAUAGAAUUUAUUUUUGGGGUAUAUCAAGAUAACUACAAUUCAAUUGCACAAACAAUUAGUUAAAACUUUUAAAUAUCUAAAAUUAUAUUUAAAGUAUAUGUAAGUGUUUAAUAAAAUAAAUUUUAAACUCUUGAUGAAAUAUAUUCAAUAAAAAAAUUUGUUUACAACAACUUCGCAUGCUCGCAAUUAAAACAUCAUACUAAUAAAAUAAAUAAAUUUAGAAUACGCUACGAUAUAAUUCAACAUUAACAUUUUUUUAAAUAAAAAAUUUUAAAUAGUAAAUCAUAUUUUUAACUUUUUACAUCUUAUUUUUGAGUUUGUAUUUUACAUUUUAUUUCAUCAAAUAAAUACAAGUACCAUUAUAUGUUGAAAAAUAAAUUGACAAUCAUAGUACAAGGAGACAAACAAUCAUCCUAUAUAAUAAGUUAUCAUGCAAAUUUUACAAAAUAUUUUGAAAAUUAAAUUAAAUGAUUGUGAUAAACUUGAUUUUCCUUCAUUAUAGUUUUCCUAAUCAUACUCAAUUAUUACAAAUCAAAAGAGUAAUAGUAUAAAAUAACUAUAUUUAUAAUACAUAAAAUAUUACUUAUAAAAUUUAUAAAAUUAAUUAAUUAAUAUCCGUGCAAUGCAUGGGCCAUAAUCUAGUUUGAUAUUAUUUCCUGUAAAUUUUAAUUUAGUCAUUACAAAUGCAAACUCUUUUGUUUUAGUCUCUAAUAUUUUACACCGUUUAGUUUUAAAACAAUUGAUAAUUAAUGACCUGAAAAUUAAUUUCCGUAAAACUCAAGAAUUUUGGUUUUUGUCUCUCCAUAAUGCAAAAAUUUUUAUUUUAGUUCUUACAAAAUAAAUAAAAAAUUGUUGGAUAAAAUAUGUUAUUAGCCCUUGCAAAAUGUAAAAAAUUUGAUUUUAGUCUCUGCAAAAUAAAUUUUAGUUUAAGUCUCUGCAAAAUGUAAAUAUUUUUGUUUUAAUCUAUAAGACCUAACAUCAUUUGUUUUUUAAUGUUUGAAUAAUUAAUUACUUUAAACUUAGUCUUUGAAAUAUCCAAGAAAUUUGAUGUUCGUCCCUUAAAAAAUAGUUAAAAAAAUCCCGUGUUUUUUUUAUUAAAAAAUAAAUUAUAAUUACUGUCUUAUAACUAUUAUCAUUUUUAUUUAGAAGAUAUAAAUAAGCAUUAAUUUUGACUAACUAAUUAAUGAGAAAUAUUUAUCUCGUGUAUGAUUAUAUAUGUUCCCCCAGCUUCUUUAGUGAUUCAUUUUCGAAAAGCAACAUGAAAAAAUUAUUUUUAGUGUAUGAUAAUUGUUCUUAUUUUUACGUGGACGACAUUUAAAAUUUACUACUUUUAAUAAAUUUUUUAUUUACAAACAUUUAUUUGUGUAUGAUUUUUAUAAUAUAUUUGUAAUUAGUUUUUUUUAUAAUUAUUCUUAUUUUUAUUUAAAAGACAUAAAAUAAUAUUAAAUUUAACUAAUUGAAUAGAGGUAAACACUUGUUCCAAUAAGCACUUGGGAUUUAUUUUCUGAAGAAAAAAAUGAGAAAAAACUGGAAUUUGAAAAAUUAUAACUAUUGUGUUAUAAAUUUUUCUCAUUUUUAUUGUGGUGGUAUAAUUAAUAAAAUAUUAAUUUUAACUAAUUCUUUUAUGAUAAAAAUCUAUGUCUAUGAUUUCUAUAAUUAAUAAAAGUAAUAACAAAAACUGUGAAAUUUUUUUAUUAUAAAAAUCAUAUACGAGACAAAUUUUUGUUAUAAAAAGUUAAUUAAAAUAAGUAUUAUAUUGAUAUAGUUAACAUAAAAAUGAGUAUAAUUAUAAUACAACAACUAUACUUUUCUCAUACACUCCAUUUUUUCCAUUUUUUUUUCUUCUUAUGAAAAUGAGUUGCAAAAGGAACUGUUGGAACAUACAAUUCAUACACAUAACUAGUUUUUGUCCCUAAUGAAUUAGUUAAAUUUAGUUUUUUUUAAUAUUUUUUAAAUGAAAAUAAGAAUAGUUAUAAUAUACUAAUUACAAAUGUAUUAUAAAAACCAUAUACCCGACAAAUAAUUGUCAAUAAAGAAUUAAUUAAAAUUAGUAUUUUUUAAUAUUAUCAACAUAAAAAUAAGAACAAUUGUAAUACAACAACUAUAAUAUUUUUACGCUGUUUGUUUGGAAAUGACUGGUCAAAGAAGCUUGUGGAACAUUAAAUCAAACACCGGAUAAAUGUUUGUCAUUAAUCGAUUAAUGAAAAUUAAUAUUUUAUAUUUUCUAAAAAAAUGAUAAUGAAAAUAGUUCUAAUACACUAAUUAUAAUUUAUUAUUAAAAUUGUACAUGAGAGUAAAUCACAUUUUUUUAUUAUGAAGGGAUCAAAAUAAAUUUUCUUUUAUUUUGGGGUGACUAAAACAAUUUUUUUUUCCAAGGACUAUAACCAAACUUCUUGGAUUUUGUAGGAACUAAAUUUAAAAUCAAUAAUUAGUCAACCGUUAAAAAACUAAAAAUGUUAAGAAUUAGUGACUAAAAUGAAAAACGAUUGUAUUUAACAAGGACUUCAACUAAAAAAUUUAUCUAUUCAUUACCACUCUCAUACAUCAUUGACGAAUAAAUUUAUCUUUUAUUUUACAGGGAUUAAUUGCAUAUUUAAGCAUUUUUCUAUUCAUUACCACUCUCAUACAUCAUUAAUGAAUAAAUAAUAAUUAUACUAUAAUCACAAUUUUUAUUCAAAAUUACACUAAAAAACAUCUCAUGUUUUACUUUUGUUUAUAUUAAUGGCAAUAAAGUAUAAAAUAUAUUUAAAACACUUUUGAAGCCCAAAAUAUAAGUCUCUUAAAUUUAUUAACUUUUUUUUGAUAAAGGUUCUACAUUUAAAAUAGAGCAACUAUCAUACUUUUUAUUCUAGGUUCUACAUCUAUAUGUGCAACUACAAUUUAAAGUCGAUGAAGAAGGGGUUCCUAUAGUGCAUUUUCCAAGGCCAUUAUAUUUAUGAAGGCACCAUUGUUUGCAAACUUGCAGAAGACAUGGACUAUGAUCGUCUGUAACAAUACAUAUAAAUGAUUGUAUGUUUGCUCCAUUUGUUGUAGGUAUAACUG
rnacentral:lncRNA from 1 species